GGAUUCCCCUAGUAACGGCGAGUGAAGCGGGAUGAGCUCAAAUUUGUAAUCUGGCGGCCUCUGGCCGUCCGAGUUGUAGUCUGGAGAAGCGUCUUCCGCGUCGGACCGUGUACAAGUCCCUUGGAACAGGGUGUCGUAGAGGGUGAGAAUCCCGUCUUUGACAUGGACUCCCGAUGCUUUGUGAUGCGCUCUCGAAGAGUCGAGUUGUUUGGGAAUGCAGCUCAAAACGGGUGGUAAAUUCCAUCUAAAGCUAAAUAUGGGCGAAAGACCGAUAGCGAACAAGUACCGUGAGGGAAAGAUGAAAAGCACUUUGAAAAGAGAGUUAAACAGUACGUGAAAUUGUUGAAAGGGAAACGCUUGAAGUCAGUCGCGUCUCUUGGGACUCAGCCCGGUUUCGGUCGGGUGUAUUUCCUAAGGUGACGGGCCAGCAUCGAUUUUGACCGUCGGAGAAAGGCCUAGGGAAUGUGGCACCCUCGGGUGUGUUAUAGCCUUUGGUCGUAUGCGACGGUUGGGAUCGAGGAUUGCAGCACGCCUUCUCGGCCGGGGUUCGCCCACGUUCGUGCUUAGGAUGCUGGCGUAAUGGCUUUAAGCGACCCGUCUUGAA
rnacentral:rRNA from 1 species